rnacentral:misc_RNA from 1 species
AAACAAAAACCUCAAGAGGAUAAUUCGGAAAAUGACGGUCACAUAUAGGGAUUGGCAUGAUAUGCUUCCCUACGCUCUUCACGCAUACCGGACUUCUGUAAGAACCUCAACCGGGGCAACUCCAUACUCACUGGUCUACGGGAUGGAAGCUGUAUUGCCUAUUGAGGUUGAAAUCCCGUCCCUAAGAAUUUUGAAGGAAUCAGGGAUCGAUGAGUCAGAAUGGAUCCAGUCAAGGUUGGAUCAGUUAAACUUGCUGGAUGAGAAAAGGUUAACAGCAGCAUGUCACGGACAAUUAUACCAGAGAAGAAUGGCCAGGGCAUUUGAUAAAAACGUGCGCCCACGGGAAUUUCAACCUGGGGACUUAGUUCUGAAGAAAGUACUGCCAAACCAAAACGAUCCCCGGGGCAAAUGGUCACCAACCUACGAGGGACCCUAUGUGGUUAAAAAGGCAUUUUCUGGAGGAGCCUUGAUCUUGACCCACAUGGACGGUGAAGAAUUCCCGAGACCUGUGAAUGCCGACACUGUCAAGAGGUAUUAUGCAUAAACAAGCGAAGGAUGAAAACCCGAAAGGGCGUCCUGAAAGAGCGAGCUAAAAAAUAAAAAAUAAAAAAUCCCAAUCUAUUAGCGGAGCCAUAUGUUGGAUUAAUUGAUUUAAAAUAAAGUAAUGUCAGAGUUUGUUCUUAAUGUUAAUGUUUGAGCAGAUUUUGCGGGAAUUUUUGUUUUAGUGGCUGAUCUUUUGGAGAGUUAGUUUCCUCUUAUCUAUAAGCCUUCUUCUCUUGAACACAAAACAAUACACACAUGUUAAAAAAGCAGAAAAAGAACAGGGGCUGCCAUAUUUUUUUUACUUAGAUACAGAUACAUCAACAGCCAAAAAAAGCAUGUUUACACAAGAGCUGGAUUGAAGUACCUUGAAGGAGGAACGUGGAUAACUUAAUUACCCGGCGCAGAUCGUCAAGAAAUCAACAUGCUUCAAUCCACAGUCUCACAAUCUCACAGGCUACUAUAAACUUUUUUCUAAUUAGAUGUUGUUUUUAUUAUUAUUAUUAUUAUUAAUUGUUCUGUUGUUGUAGUUCACAUCAUCCUAGGUUUCUGUGCUUGUCUCAAUCUUCUUUGGACUUGUUUGGAUGUUCUUUUGAUGUAAACCAUGAUUCAUACGUUAAUAUUGUGUGGAAGUAUUUAUUGAAUUGCAAUCUUAGUGUGUAAUUAUAUUUUGAUCAGCAAUGGCUGCUAAGAGAAACAGAU